rnacentral:rRNA from 1 species
GAAAUCAACCGAGAUUCCGCUAGUAGUGGCGAGCGAACGCGGAAGAGGCCAAACCAAGAGUAGUAAUACUUUUGGGGUUUUGGACAGCGUACGGUAUUAACUGCGGUUAGUAGAAUGAAAUGGGAAGUUCAACCACAGAGCGUGAUAGUCGCGUACACGAAAACUAAAGUUAGCCAGCUGGAUCCAGAGUACCGCCGGACACGUGAAACCCGGUGGGAAGACGGGGGGACCACCCUCCAAGCCUAAAUACUCUCCAAUGACCGAUAGUGUAUAGUACUGUGAAGGAAAGGUGAAAAGAACCCCUGGCGGGGAGUGAAAUAGAACCUGAAACCUUGUGCCUACAAGCACAUAGAGCGCGUCAAUGCGUGAUAUGGUACCUUUUGUAGAAUGGUCCGGCGAGUGAAUGUCACUGGCAAGGUUAAGCUCUUCAGGAGUGCAGCCGAAGCGAAAGCGAGUCUGAAAUGGGCGUUUUUAGUCAGUGGUAUUCGACCCGAAACCGGGUGACCUAGCCAUGAGCAGGCUGAAGUGGAGGUAAAACUCCAUGGAGGGCCGAACCCACUCCCGUUGAAAUGGUAGGGGAUGACUUGUGGCUAGCGGAGAAAUUCCAAUCGAACCCGGAGAUAGCUGGUUCUCUCCGAAAUAGCUUUAGGGCUAGCCUCAAUUAACAUUACCGCAGGUAAAGCACUGAAUGAGCUAGGGGGCGAAAGCUUACUGAACUCUAUCAAACUCAGAAUGGCGGAUAAUGAAUGAUUGGGAGUCACACUACGUGAGAUAAGUUUCGUGGUGGAAAGGGAAACAGCCCAGACCCACAGCUAAGGUCCCAAAGUACAGUUAAGUGGAAAAGGAUGUGAAAUUGCGCAGACAACCAGGAUGUUGGCUCAGAAGCAGCCACUCAUUCAAAGAGUGCGUAAUAGCUCACUGGUCGAGUGAUUUUGCGCCGAAAAUUUAACGGGGCUAAACUGUACACCGAAGCUUGGGAAUAUACAUUUGUAUGUUGGUAGGAGAGCGUUGUGUAAGGGGUGAAGUCGUAGCGAAAGCGGCGGUGGACUUUACACAAGUGAGAAUGCCGGAAUGAGUAGCGAGAAUUAUGUGAGAAUCAUAAUGGCCGAAAGACUAAGGUUUUAGAAGGAAGGUUCGUCCGCUUCUAGUUAGCCGGGAGCUAAGGCGAGGCCGAGAGGCGUAGUCGAUGCACAUACGGUUGAGAUUCCGUAGCUACCUUGCAUUUAAGCGAAGGGACACAUUUGAAGGGCAUGACCCGGGCGUUGGUUGACCCGGGCGUAAGGGACCGAAAAUAAGUAGGGAAGCAUGCUUGGAUGGUGGCGAGAAAAGCUUCGUGUAUAUAAGCAGGGUACCCGUACUGCAAACCGACACAGGUAGUCAGGAAGAGGAUUCUAAGGCCAUCGGGAGAAGCGUUGUUAAGGAACUCGGCAAAUUGACCCCGUAACUUCGGAAUAAGGGGUGCUCACGCGAGUGAGCCGCAGUGAAUAGGUCCAGGCAACUGUUUAUCAAAAACACAGCUCUCUGCUAAAUCGUAAGAUGACGUAUAGGGGGUGACACCUGCCCGGUGCUGGAAGGUUAAGAGGAGGGGUGCAAGCUCCGAAUUGAAGCCCCAGUAAACGGCGGCCGUAACUAUAACGGUCCUAAGGUAGCGAAAUUCCUUGUCGGGUAAGUUCCGACCCGCACGAAUGGUGUAAUGAUCUGGACACUGUCUCAACAACGCACCCGGCGAAAUUGUAGUACCGGUGAAGAUGCCGGUUACCCGCGGCAAGACGGGAAGACCCCAUGGAGCUUCACUGUAGCCUGAUAUUGGGUCUCGGUAUUUUAUGUACAGGAUAGGCGGGAGACUUGGAAACCAGCACGCCAGUGUUGGCGGAGUCACCCUUGGGAUACCGCUCUUAAAGUAUUGAGAUUCUAACCUGCAGCCAUGAAUCUGGCUGGGGGACAUUGUCAGGUGGGCAGUUUGACUGGGGCGGUCGCCUCCAAAAGAGUAACGGAGGCGUUCAAAGGUUCACUCAGCAUGGACGGAAACCAUGCCUUAGAGUGCAAACGCAUAAGUGAGCCUAACUGCGAGACUGACGGGUCGAGCAGUAACGAAAGUUGGAGUUAGUGAU